UUCCUUAUUCUUUAGGCACGGUGGAGAAUUUUCUCCCAAUGCACGAAGGCCAAGCGGAACACUUCCGCGUGAGGGAAGAAGGUAAGUCGGUAGUAAACUAAAUUUGUCUGGGACGCCAACAUAGACGGUACCUGAGGAGUAAGCCUCCGCCUAAUUCUUUGCCACCACCCGCGGUAUUAUGGAGGGGGCAAGCGUUUUCCGGAAUUUUUGGGGGUAAAGAGUCCGCAGGGGGCUCUUCAAGUCUGCGGUCAAAAACCGGGGUUUACCCCCGGAAAGCCAGUGGAAAUUGAAGGGCUAGAGUGUGGCAGGGGUAGAGGGAAUUCCCGGUGUAGCGGGGAAAUGUUUGGAGAUCUGGAAGAACACCGGUGGGGAGAGGGCUCUCCUGGCCCCCACUUGACACUCAGGGACGAAAGCUAGGGGAGCGAACGGGAUUAGAUACCCCGGUAUUCUUCCCCCUAAACGAUGGAUAUUAGGUGUGGCGGGUAUCGACCCCAUCCGUGCCGCAGCUAACGCUUAAGUAUCCCGCUGGGGAGUACGCCGCA
rnacentral:rRNA from 1 species